rnacentral:rRNA from 1 species
AUUGAACGCUGGCGGCAGGCCUAACACAUGCAAGUCGAGCGAGCGGCGGACGGGAGUGUAAUGUCUGGGAAUUGCCCAGUCGAGGGGGAUAACAGUUGGAAACGAUUGUUAAUACCGCAUACGAUUGGAUUGCCCAGGUGGGAUUAGCUAGUUGGUGGGGUAAUGGCUCACCAAGGCGACGAUCCCUCGCUGGUCGGAGGGGAUGAUCGGCAACACUGGAACGGAGAAACGGUCCAGACUCCUACGGGAGGCAGAAGGGGGGAACAUUGCACAAUGGGGGAAGUCCGGAGGCGGCCAUGCCGCGUGUGGAAAGAAGGCCUUCGGGUUGUAAAGCACGUUCAGCGAGGAGGCGUUACUCGAAGAAGAAGCACCGGCUAACUCCGUGCCAGCAGCCGCGGUAAUAC